rnacentral:ncRNA from 2 species
AGUUUUAUCGGCGAUGGAGUCCGCCGUAAAAUGCCGUAAGGCUGAUGACUCCUACCCAAUU